AGGUGUGUUGUCAGCAAGGUGGCUCACCUCGCUGACUACCAGGGUCCAUUCUGCUGAUCUGGCUUGCUAGCCUUCCUCACGCCUCCACGUGCGUCUAUCCUAAAGCUGCAUGCUCGGCCAAGCAAGAUGGUGCUCCCUGAGGGAGGAGACCAUUACUUCAUAAAGGGCCUACAAGUAGCUGCGCUGCCCUCCAAACAAGCUUGCAAGAGUCAUGAGGGAAUGGUGUAUUUCUAAGGAUAAAAAAGAGAUACGGCAUUCUC
rnacentral:snRNA from 1 species